rnacentral:rRNA from 1 species
UACGUAGGGUGCGAGCGUUAAUCGGAAUUACUGGGCGUAAAGCGUGCGCAGGCGGUGAUGUAAGACAGGUGUGAAAUCCCCGGGCUUAACCUGGGAACUGCAUUUGUGACUGCGUCGCUGGAGUGCGGCAGAGGGGGAUGGAAUUCCGCGUGUAGCAGUGAAAUGCGUAGAUAUGCGGAGGAACCCCGAUGGCGAAGGCAAUCCCCUGGGCCUGCACUGACGCUCAUGCACGAAAGCGUGGGGAGCAAACAGG